AACAAAGAUCUUUUCCCCUCUAGGGCUCCGUCCAUAAUCUACGAGAAUAACACAAUUUAUAUCUUAAUCAAGGUUAAUCAUACUUAAUAGCACCCGAACAAAUCACACGAAGUUCCAUAGAAUCACAUUUCUAGUUCGCCCAAGUCCUUUCUAACCUAAGCUCUCAUCUAUUUAGUAGCCAGGUACAAGAAUCCCAAAUAAGAUAAUUCACAACUCGAGCCGGCCGGUCCCAAGCGUAAAUCAUCCAUAUUAAAGACUCCUAC
rnacentral:lncRNA from 1 species